UCAGUCACUAUUUUGUUGGGCACAAUGCACGUCGAGUGUCCGGCUGGAACAAACUAUGGACGAAUUAACAUCGCCGUCUAAUAGUGGCUCAUACCUGCAGACAUACCAUGGAAAAGUCGGUGCCGUGCGAAAUACAUGAGAAUGAAAAUGGGGCUGUGCAUCUGCUGGAAGCGAUAAAAAAAA